ensembl:lncRNA
GCAGCGCUCCGGGCCCCGCCACGUGCGCGAAGUGCCGGCGGGGCGUCCUCCGGAGGGGGAGCGGCUCCGUGAAGGGCGGCGAUCCCGUGGGCUGGGGAGGAACGCGCGGGGAAACGCCGCGUCCGUCUUCGGGCAGCAGCGAGCGGAGCGGGAACGGAGCGCUCCGGUGUCGCCGCUCGGCCCCUUUCCGGCAACGGCCCCGAGCUGGGAGCCAGAGGCAAACCUGCCCCACAACACCAUUUGAUAACAAUACAUUUCACGACUGCCGCUUUUUUUUUUUGGGUCCAAGCUCUUUUAUCACCAAAGGAUUGAUGUGACUUACCACAUAGAUCUCAUGUCAGGAAUGAGAACUGAAGUUGUCUUACUUUUCCUUAAAAAAGGAAAAAGUUUGCUCUUGAAGUAUUGCCAACAAAUAAUACUUUCAGAACCUCUUGCAUAGUUCGGAUGCCAAAGUCACACUGGAAGUCAGUGAGAUUCAAGAUUUUAACUCGCACUGUAAAUGUGAUUCAAAGGCUUCAAGGGUGAAGCGUCUGUCCCUGCAGAGGAUCUGGGCAAGGCUCCUUUACCCUUCAGGUUCUGGGCUGAUCGGUAGGACCAAGAGGUGGGAGAGAGGUCACAGUGGGCUCCUGCCAUCUACGGAUAUGCUGAUCAUAAGUUCGUCUGAAUGUGGAGAAGAGUGAAGAUGAAGCACAGUGGCUCAGGAAGCACAUAACGCAAUGCUUCUCAUUUUAAGAGUCUGAUAAUUAAGCCAUUAAAGAGUGCUGGGACUAGCAAUACCAUGUCUACGGGGAACUAAUUACUUGUACCACUGGUAAAAUACC